CUCAUUGUUAAAUAAUCCUCAUAGUUGUAAGUUAAUUUUUAAAUUUAAAAAAAAAUCUAAUUCACCCCCUUCUCUUGGGUUGCAUAGCUGGGCAAUAGUAGCACCUGCAAGAUAAGUCUCCAGUCGGAGUUGGCUUUGAUAGGAACCUUCCAACGCUCAAGUUAGAUCUCUAAAGAAUAGAUGAGGAGUGAGUGCUUAGAAAGAGAAAUUUUUUGUACUUUGGGGGUCUCCUGUAGGUCUUUAUUUAUAGGCAGAUGCUAAAAAAUAAUGAGAAAGAAGAAUCAGAUGAUUAGUCUUACUUUAUCUG
rnacentral:lncRNA from 1 species